GAUGAAGAACGCAGCGAAAUGCGAUAAGUAAUGUGAAUUGCAGAAUUCAGUGAAUCAUCGAAUCUUUGAACGCACAUUGCGCCCGCCAGCACUCUGGCGGGCAUGCCUGUUCGAGCGUCAUUUCAACCAUCAAGCCCCCAGGGGCUUGUGCUGGGGCCCUGCGGCUGCCCGCAGGCCCUGAAAACCAGUGGCGGGCUCGCUAGUCACACCGAGCGCAGUAGCACAUCUCGCUCAGGGCGUGCGGCGGGCUCCUGCCGUGAAACCCCCCACUGUAACCCCAAAGGUUGACCUCGGAUCAGGUAGGAAUACCCGCUGAACUUAAGCAUACAAUAAGCGGAGGA
rnacentral:misc_RNA from 1 species